rnacentral:rRNA from 1 species
UACGGAGGGUGCAAGCGUUAUCCGGAUUCACUGGGUUUAAAGGGAGCGCAGGCGGAUUGGUAAGUCAGUGGUGAAAGCCUUACGCUUAACUUGGGAACUGCCAUUGAUACUAUCAGUCUUGAAUAUUGUUGAGGUUUGCGGAAUGGGUCAUGUAGCGGUGAAAUGCAGAGAUAGGACGCGGAACACCGAUUGCGAAGGCAGCAGGCUAAACAAAGAUUGACGCUGAGGCUCGAAAGCGUGGGGAGCAAACAGG